rnacentral:rRNA from 1 species
UCUAACCUACGGGGGGCAGCAGUAGGGAAUCUUCCACAAUGGACGAAAGUCUGAUGGAGCAACGCCGCGUGAGUGAAGAAGGGUUUCGGCUCGUAAAACUCUGUUGGUAGGGAAGAAAGAUAGAGGUAGUAACUGGCCUUUAUUUAACGGUAAUUACUUAGAAAGUCACGGCUAACUACGUGCCAGCAGCCGCGGUAAUACGUAGGGGGCAAGCGUUGUCCGGAUUUAUUGGGCGUCAAGCGAGUGCAGGCGGCUCAAUAAGUCUGAUGUGCAAGCCUUCGGCUCAACCGGAGAAUU